UACACUCCUGCGGGAGGCGGCAGUGGGGAAUUUUGGCCAAUGGGCGAAAGCCUGAUCCAGCAAUGCCGCGUGAGUGAAGAAGGCCUUCGGGUUGUAAAGCUCUUUUGUCAGGGAAGAAACGGUGAAAGCUAAUAUCUUUUGCUAAUGACGGUACCUGAAGAAUAAGCACCGGCUAACUACGUGCCAGCAGCCGCGGUAAUACGUAGGGUGCAAGCGUUAAUCGGAAUUACUGGGCGUAAAGCGUGCGCAGGCGGUUUUGUAAGUCUGAUGUGAAAUCCCCGGGCUCAACCUGGGAAUUGCAUUGGAGACUGCAAGGCUAGAAUCUGGCAGAGGGGGGUAGAAUUCCACGUGUAGCAGUGAAAUGCGUAGAUAUGUGGAGGAACACCGAUGGCGAAGGCAGCCCCCUGGGUCAAGAUUGACGCUCAUGCACGAAAGCGUGGGGAGCAAACAGGAUUAGAUACCCUGGUAGUCCCAUG
rnacentral:rRNA from 1 species